rnacentral:pre_miRNA from 1 species
CUCAGUUACAUUUGAAUUUCAGAUAAACAACAAAUCGUUUUGGAUAUAAACAGGUGUCAUGCAAUAUUUGGGACAUACUCUUACUAGAAAAUACUAUUGUGUAUAUGAAAUUCACAUGUAAUUGGGC